ACCGCGCCCGUGCGUCUGCGCGCCUGGCCGCCAGGUGACCCAGCAGCCCGGCCGCCGAGAUGCCCAACCCGCCCAGGCUCCGGGCGCUGUGACUUCGCGCCGCUGUGUGCGCCUCCCCGAGCGCCGGCUGCGCCCCCCAGCCCGGCCCGGGGCCUACCGCCUGCCCGGCCCCCUGCCACUGCCAGGAGGACGGCAUCAUGCUGUCUGCCGACUGCUCUUGAGCUUGGGCUGUCCGCCAUACCGGGGGACCUGGAUCCCCUGACGGCUUACCUAUUCCAUGUCAGUAGUGGCAAACCUUUACAGGAUUAUGAAUACAAAAUGCCACUGGUCUCCUGAAGAUACAGCAGCAAAAUGAAACAUCCACAAAUAUGACUUAAAUUGAGAAUAUGUGCAUGUCUAUAACUCCACCCUUCACUGUGCUGCGGUUGUUCUCUGGACCACUCCUAUUUCAUCAGUGUUAUUGUCAACCUGAAGAACAAGCAGAAAGAGGCUCUCUGAAAUGAAAUGGAUGCUUAUUUGGGAAGAGAGCAUUGCAACGGGAAUACACAUGCCAUCGUAAAUGACAAGAAUAUUCAGGGAGGACCCCAUCACAUUUGGCUGCCAUAUCUCCUUGGACUCCUCUUGGCUGUGACAGGGUCUCAGACGGCCCUUGCCGUUGAUGACCUUGAUGGUUUGAAGAGCCCUAAUCAGGUGCAUUGCAGGACGCUCCUCAGUUGGGAUUUGUCUGAGGCUUUCCUCGUAAAUAGCCUGGGGUUAUGGGUUUUGGGAGGAAGACCACACAGAUAAAUGCCAUUCUCAUCAUGUCAUAACAAGGGUACACACGCUGCUGACAUGACUCUUCACUGACAGUGGUGGCUGUAGUCGGCUGGCUGAGGUCUCCCCACUGUGAAGUCCCCCUCUCCAUGCUGUACUCUCUGGAAGGACGUCGCCAUGCACAGCCGACACUUAGGGGUAUGGGUUGUGCUCCACUUCCGAGGAGGAGAAGUAGCUACAUGAGUGACUGGGAAAUGUCCUGGGGGGGAUACUCAUCCAUGCCUCCACAUUACUUAUGUACUCAAUCUUUUAUUUAUAUUGCUAUGGACUCAUGGAUACUCAGCCCAUGCUCGGGCUGGACUCCAGUGUGACUUUGCUUCUUUUCCUGCUCAGCUUCUUCGAGGUUGGCCUUGGUGAGCUCCCGUGGUGGGUUCCCAGCUCCUGUGUGCCUCUGACAGGUGCUCAUCACUUGGCUUUUUGGGCAUCUCCUUAAUUUCUGCUACUAAAGAUGCUCCUGGCUUAUCUUCUGCAUGUCCUGCCUUUGCCCUUGAAUCAGUCAAUUCUCCAAGAAGCUCUGGCUCCUUUCCUAGAACAGUGUUAGAAACCAAGAUCUGGGCACUGGUGUGUUCAUUGCUAGUGAGGUGUUGUUGCUUCUAGACUCUCUCAGCUGAUAGAGCAAGGGAAUGUUUAAGCCAUUUAGAACAUAAAUGCAUUCAUUUAAAAACAUGGACUAUGUAUUCACUGUGCCUUGGGCCCCAAGCUGGGUGUUGAGGAUCUUGAGAAAAUAAAUCAAGGAAGCCCAUGGUCUAGGGUAGUGCUGGUGAGGAGAUAACAGACUCUUGAGAUGGCACUAGGGCCAUGGCGGAGACAGACCUGGACACUAGUGGGACCCAGCAAAGACCCACAGCAGCCUGGGGAGGCGGCUUCCAGAGUGCUGCGACUUUGGAACAUGAAUACUCCUGAGGGUUCACAAACGAGCCUGGGGGGUAUUCCAGGACCAGCUGGUAGGGGGGCAAAGGUUGGGUCAUGAACUAUGGGGAAUGCAAGAAUUGCAAGAGGUUGAACAUGCCUGGGGGUGCAGAGACAGAGGCUGAGGUGCAGGGCAGUCUGAGACAUGGUUAGGAGCCUGGGCAUUCUCUUGAGAGACAGGGGAGAAGAAAAUUCAGAUGGAGCGUUCAUUUCAGGAAGGCCACCCUGGGAUCUGGGCAGGAGAUGAAUACCUGGCAGGGUCAGGGAAGGGAAGGUAAUUGAAAGUUUACAAAAACAAAACCCCAUUCACAUUCUUAAAGUAUUCUUCAUAGAGGUACUAUUUCAAUAAACACAUGCUUUAUUUGUAUAUUAUAACAGAUGAAUUUUCUUCACUGGCAAUUUCUAUCUUUAACUGUCAAAUUUAAGCCUUUUCUGUAAUACCCAUGAGCUCUUUUAUUGGGUGGGAUGACCCAGGGUCCAGCCAGGGAUUCUCCUCCACAGAGUGAGAACACGGUGAAGCAUAGCUGGGACUCAGGGCGAGGUGGCGAUUCAGGGGGGUUUCCAGGCAGAAUGGAUCCGUUUAGCUUCGACUGAGUGCACCUGCCCCCAGGAGCGGGUCUCCAGGCAGAAUGGAUCCCUUUAGCUUUGACUAGUGCACCUGCCCCCGGGAGCAUCUGGGGCUGUUAGAGAAGCUGUGGGCAGCCUCCACUCAGCCCAAUCAGAUGGCACACACCCACCUCAUGGGGACCUGUGCACAGCUGGAUGGUCCCAGCUCUGCAGGGAGAGAGGAUUAGACCCUGUGUGGCAUAACGACACCAGUUUCUGGAAAAUGUUGGAGUUCUAGAAGUAUAAUAAAAUAAUUUUUCAAUUAA
rnacentral:lncRNA from 10 species